CCUACGGGAGGCAGCAGUGGGGAAUAUUGCGCAAUGGCCGAAAGGCUGACGCAGCGACGCCGCGUGGGGGAUGAAGCAUUUCGGUGUGUAAACCCCUGUUGCUCGGGACGAACAACUGGUUUUGACCAGUCUGACGGUACCGGGUGAGGAAGCACCGGCUAACUCUGUGCCAGCAGCCGCGGUAAUACGGAGGGUGCGAGCGUUGUCCGGAAUCACUGGGCGUAAAGGGCGCGUAGGCGGUCUGCUAAGCGUGUGGUGAAAGCUCGGGGCUCAACCCUGAGUCGGCCAUGCGAACUGGUGGACUAGAGCACUGUAGAGGCAGGUGGAAUUCCGGGUGUAGCGGUGGAAUGCGUAGAGAUCCGGAAGAACACCGGUGGCGAAGGCGGCCUGCUGGGCAGUAGCUGACGCUGAGGCGCGACAGCGUGGGGAGCAAACAGGAUUAGAUACCCUGGUAGUCCACGCCGUAAACGAUGGGCACUAGGUGCUUGGGGGAGCGACCCCCGAGUGCCGGCGCUAACGCAUUAAGUGCCCCGCCUGGGGAGUACGACCGCAAGGUUGAAACGUCAAAGGAAUUGACGG
rnacentral:rRNA from 1 species